UACGUAGGGCGCAAGCGUUAUCCGGAAUUAUUGGGCGUAAAGGGCUCGUAGGCGGUUUGUCGCGUCGGGAGUGAAAACCAGGUGCUUAACACCUGGCUUGCUUUCGAUACGGGCAGACUAGAGGUAUUCAGGGGAGAACGGAAUUCCUGGUGUAGCGGUGAAAUGCGCAGAUAUCAGGAGGAACACCGGUGGCGAAGGCGGUUCUCUGGGAAUGACCUGACGCUGAGGAGCGAAAGUGUGGGGAGCGAACAGG
rnacentral:rRNA from 1 species